GUUCAUUUUUAUUACCUUAUUCUCGGGAUCGGCUGUUGUAAGAGUCAGCCACCCUCGGUUAGAUGGCCUUGGCUAUCAAGGCCUGGGGAGAACCGUUUUAAAUUCCCAUACACGUGUCUCUCGAAGAUCCUGUGAGAUCCAUAUUGAGCGGCGCAACUUGAAAUUAGUCGUAUAUAUAUGGGCAUAAUAAUAAUAAUAGGCUCUAAUAUAACGGACAAGACUUAGACGGACUUAAACAAGACUUUUACUAGACUUCGUAAGACUUAGUUUGUAUUAAAAUAUCAAACAACCGUAG